GCCUGGGUGGCUCAGUCAGUUAAGCAUCUGACUUCGGCUCAGGUCAUGAUCUCAUGGUUUGUGGGUUCAAGCCCCACGUCAGGCU
rnacentral:tRNA from 1 species